UACGUAGGGUGCGAGCGUUAAUCGGAAUUACUGGGCGUAAAGCGUGCGCAGGCGGUGAUGUAAGACCGAUGUGAAAUCCCCGGGCUUAACCUGGGAACUGCAUUGGUGACUGCAUUGCUGGAGUAUGGCAGAGGGGGGUGGAAUUCCACGUGUAGCAGUGAAAUGCAUAGAGAUGUGGAGGAACACCGAUGGCGAAGGCAGCCCCCUGGGCCAAUACUGACGCUCAUGCACGAAAGCGUGGGGAGCAAACAGG
rnacentral:rRNA from 1 species